rfam:Pelagibacteraceae bacterium BACL5 MAG-120820-bin39 contig00177.1_120820-bin39, whole genome shotgun sequence.
UCCUCGGUAGCUCAGUUGGUAGAGCAGUUGACUGUUAAUCAAUUGGUCGCAGGUUCGAGUCCUGCCCGGGGAG